AAAUUGAAGAGUUUGAUCAUGGCUCAGAUUGAACGCUGGCGGCAGGCCUAACACAUGCAAGUCGAACGGUAACAGGAAGCAGCUUGCUGCUUCGCUGACGAGUGGCGGACGGGUGAGUAAUGUCUGGGAAACUGCCUGAUGGAGGGGGAUAACUACUGGAAACGGUGGCUAAUACCGCAUAACGUCGCAAGACCAAAGAGGGGGACCUUCGGGCCUCUUGCCAUCAGAUGUGCCCAGAUGGGAUUAGCUAGUU
rnacentral:rRNA from 3 species